GCUCAGAUUGAACGCUGGCGGCGUGCUUAACACAUGCAAGUCGAACGAAGAUACUUAAAAUGAGAGCUUCGGCAGGAAUUUUAUUUAUCUUAGUGGCGGACGGGUGAGUAACGUGUGGGCAACCUGCCCUAUACUGGGGAAUAAUCACUGGAAACGGUGACUAAUACCGCAUGUCAUUACGGAAGGGCAUCCUUCUGUAAGAAAAGGAGUAAUUCGGUAUAGGAUGGGCCCGCAUCUGAUUAGCUAGUUGGUGAGAUAACAGCCCACCAAGGCGACGAUCAGUAGCCGACCUGAGAGGGUGAUCGGCCACAUUGGGACUGAGACACGGCCCAAACUCCUACGGGAGGCAGCAGUA
rnacentral:rRNA from 1 species